UACGUAGGGGGCGAGCGUUGUCCGGAUUCAUUGGGCGUAAAGCGCGUGCAGGCGGCCUGGUAAGUCGGCCGUGAAAGCGCCAGGCUUAACCUGGCGAGGUCGGGCGAGACUGCUAGGCUGGAGGCCGGUAGAGGGCGGUGGAAUUCCGGGUGUAGUGGUGGAAUGCGUAGAGAUCCGGAGGAACACCAGUGGCGAAGGCGGGUCUCUGGACAGUUCCUGACGCUGAGGCACGAAGGCCAGGGGAGCAAACGGGG
rnacentral:rRNA from 1 species